CACUUGUGAAUAAGUGCUCCGGUUAAUCAACUCAAGCACUUGCACAAGUUUUCCUCCAAAAAGUAACGAAACCCAAAACUUCCUCGGCGCCGUUUCAUUUCUCAAACUCACUCUCUCAAACUCUCAAGUCACUCUCUCAAACUCAAGUCACUCCCUCGGAGAUCGCACAUUCGCACUUUGUCUCCUCUCAGUCGGCUGGUCGUCACCUCGUCGUGGUCGGUCCGCGGUCCGUUCAAUUAGUGGUGCGUCGGUUGUCGGAGUAUUGGAGAAAAUGGGGAGAGUUUUCGUUGUUGCCACUGCCGUUGCUCAGAGAAGUAGUGUUGGUUAUAUCUUGUAGUUGGUGUUGUAUUUGGAGGUUUUAAAGAUGAGUGAUAACUUGGUGGAUAAAGUGACCUCUUUAGGUGAACGUCUAAGGAUCGGCGGGAGUGAAGUUAGUAAGAAAAUAAGUGCUAGUGUGAGUUCUAUGAGUGACAAAAUGAAGGAACUAUUCUAAGGGCCGAAUCAGGCAGAUAAGAUUGUUGAGGAGGCGACUGCAAAGAGUUAAUGAGUUUGAGAUACAUUUUUCUUUUGGUCAAGUGUGAUGUAAGAGAUAUCCUUAGAGCUAUAGCUUCAUAAUGAAAACAGAAAAUCAAAUUGAAUGCAGGAGAUGGUUUAUUAUAAAGAAGCAAAAAUGGACUAAAAUUUAGGUUUAGGUUUUGACCUUCUCUUUGUUGUCGAGCAAAAAAGAAAAGAGAAAGCUGGGAAAUGGGAGGUUCCAUUACCCAAGUUGUUCCUCGGGUUAGACCAGUUGCUGAAGACGAAAUGUUCAAAGUUAUAAGGAUUCCACUGUUUGAAAUCCAUUCUAGAAUAGAAGGGAGAAGGUGGCAGCUAAUAUGUAAGUACAUAAGAUAGAAGGUACCGACUCUUGGAUAUUGAUUUAGUCGUUUGUUACUAAUAGGUUGGAACUGGCGUUGUUACUAGGAGUGAUGGGAGGAUGGCACUUGGAAGACUAGGUGCACUUUGUGAGCAGUUUUGCUGAUCUGCAAAAGCCGCAAGCUGAACUUGAUGGGAAAGCAUGUGCUGCUGUUGGACAGAACAAUCUCAUGGCUCUCUAUGACACAUUGUUUAGUCAAGUCCUAAUCUAAGUAGCUCAUGGUUGUGGAAAAGCUGUUUUUGAAUGGCGGGGGCUUUUUGACAUACGUAGUUUGUUUAUACAUAGUGAAUGUUUUUGCAGUUGGAUCCAGUUUUUUGCAAUGUUACUUUGUUUAGAGAUUGUUCCCAUGUUGUGAAUUUGUAGCAAACUUUUUUUGAGUAGUAAAUGAAAUAUUUGACUAAGUUGAGUUGUGAA